rnacentral:ncRNA from 1 species
AUUACAGAACGCGAGGCGCUCAUAACGACGCUCUUUGAUCCUUCGAUGUCGGCCCUAUCCUAUCACUGUGAAGCAGCAUUCACCAAGCGUUGGAUUGUUCACCCCAAUAACAGGGAACGUGAUCUGGGUUUAGAGAAUAGUAGUUAGUUU